CACGUAGGGCGCGAGCGUUGUCCGGAAUUAUUGGGCGUAAAGAGCUCGUAGGCGGCCUGUUGCGUCCGCUGUGAAAGCCCGGGGCUUAACCCCGGGUCGGCAGUGGAUACGGGCAGGCUAGAGGUAGGUAGGGGAGAAUGGAAUUCCUGGUGUAGCGGUGAAACGCGCAGAUAUCAGGAGGAACACCGGUGGCGAAGGCGGUUCUCUGGGCCUUACCUGACACUGAGGAGCGAAAGCGUGGGGAGCGAACAGG
rnacentral:rRNA from 1 species